rnacentral:pre_miRNA from 1 species
GAAAAGACAAACCCUGGUUUCCGUGCCCAACGUUUGACCGUCCGUCUUAUUUGAAAAAAUUAUGAAGAAAAUUAAAAAGACAAGUCACACAUAAAAUAUUAAUCAUGUUUUAUCAAAAUACGAAUUAUAAAAAAAUUUCAUAUAAGACGGCCAGUCAAAGUUGGACACGGAAACCCAUGGUUUGCCUUUUU